UGGGGCUCUAAGCAACCUAGCUGUAGGUGUCCCUGUUCAUUGCAGGGGAUUUGGACUAGGUGACCUUUAAGGGUUCCUUCCAACUCAGACAGUUCUAUGAUUCUGUGCUGAAACUACUGGGAGAAUAAUGUUUUAUUAAGGUGACAACUGCUUUACGCAUGCCCCCAUGCUCUCCUGGACACAGGGAUCAUCUCCCUUCCCUGCACUGCUGCUGAUGAGCACCAGAGCACCAGAGCACAGGCAUGGAGCACCAGACUCGUGGGCUCAGAGCACAGGUUGGGAACUUGCAGAUGUGCUCUGUGUCCCUUCCCAUGGGAACCAACCUUUGGAAGAGGGAUGGAAGACUGGAAGUACCUACGUCUCUUUGCAACAGAGAGUUAUGAAUCUGGAAAGUUUUCCCAACUCCCACUCUUUACCUCUAGCAGUUACUGUCUGAUGCAUGUAAGCCCCAUGUCAUUGCCUGCAUUCCUCAGGAUUUUGUCUCAUCUACUGUACACCAUCAAGGUACCCAUGUGAAAACUUCUAGUGCAAAUAGUCUAGGUACACACACACAGAUUUCCA
rnacentral:lncRNA from 1 species